GUUUUUUUUGCCUUUUUAAUGCUAAGUUAAUUAAUGUAGAGCAGGGGUGAUUAGCAGGUUCCUCGUAGCUGCCAUGAACUAUACUUUCCACGGAGCUUGGCCAGGCUAUGCAGAGAACUCCGGACUCAAAUACAUUUCCUUUCCUUGUUCUUCUGAAAAACCAUUAAUGCAAUUGUAAACACUAAGUUCUGAUGUUCCACAAACACAUAUAAACAUAGUGGGACGUGUAGGUCCACAACCAGAAAGCAACAUGUUGAGGGUAUGGAUGGAUGGUCCACCUCUAAAGAGUAUAGAAC